UAGCGGAGGAAAAGAAACCAACAGGGAUUGCCUCAGUAACGGCGAGUGAAGCGGCAAGAGCUCAAAUUUGAAAGCUGGCUCCUUCGGGGCCCGCAUUGUAAUUUGCAGAGGAUGCUUCGGGAGCGGCCCCCAUCUAAGUGCCCUGGAACGGGCCGUCAUAGAGGGUGAGAAUCCCGUCUGGGAUGGGGUGCCCGCGCCCGUGUGAAGCUCCUUCGACGAGUCGAGUUGUUUGGGAAUGCAGCUCUAAAUGGGUGGUAAAUUUCAUCUAAAGCUAAAUACUGGCCGGAGACCGAUAGCGCACAAGUAGAGUGAUCGAAAGAUGAAAAGCACUUUGAAAAGAGAGUUAAACAGCACGUGAAAUUGUUGAAAGGGAAGCGCUUGCGACCAGACUCGCCCGCGGGGUUCAGCCGGCAUUCGUGCCGGUGUACUUCCCCACGGGCGGGCCAGCGUCGGUUUGGGCGGCCGGUCAAAGGCCCUCGGAAUGUAACGCCCCCCGGGGCGUCUUAUAGCCGAGGGUGCCAUGCGGCCAGCCCGGACCGAGGAACGCGCUUCGGCUCGGACGCUGGCAUAAUGGUCGUAAGCGACCCGUCUUGA
rnacentral:rRNA from 1 species